rnacentral:rRNA from 1 species
AGAGUUUGAUCCUGGCUCAGAGCGAACGCUGGCGGCGUGCUUAACACAUGCAAGUCGAACGGGAAUCUGUAGCAAUACAGGUUCCCGUGGCGAACGGGUGCGUAACACGUGGACAAUCUUCCUUCAGGUGGGGAAUAACCCCGCGAAAGCGGGGCUAAUACCGCAUAACACUGCGAGGGCACAUGCUCUUGCAAUCAAAC